UAAGACAGCUGAAUGAUAGUCGGGCUGAAGACUCACUUGACUAGCUGAGAGAGGUGCAUGGCCGUCGUCAGUUCGUACUGUGAAGCAUCCUGUUAAGUCAGGCAACGAGCGAGACCCACGCCAACAGUUGCCAGCUCGUCCUCCGGGAUGGUGGGGACACUGUUGGGACCGCCUCUGCUAAAGAGGAGGAAGGAAUGGGCAACGGUAGGUCAGCAUGCCCCGAAUUAUCUGGGCUACACGCGGGCUACAAUGGGUGGGACAAUGGGUAUCGACACCGAAAGGUGAAGGCAAUCUCCUAAACCCAUCCGUAGUUCGGAUUGUGGGCUGCAACUCGCCCACAUGAAGCUGGAAUCUGUAGUAAUCGUGUCUCAAAAUGGCACGGUGAAUAUGUCCCUGCUCCUU
rnacentral:rRNA from 1 species